GCGCUUACUUCGGCAGCACAUACACUAAAAUUGGAAUGAUACAAAAAAAAAAAAGAUACAGAAAUUAGCGUGGCCCCUGCACAAGGAUGAUAUGCAAAUUCAUAAAGCGUUCCAUAAAAAU
rnacentral:snRNA from 1 species